CCCUUAGAUGUUCUGGGCCGCACGCGCGCUACACUGAUACAAUCAACAAGUGCCUUUUGCCGACGGGUGAAGAGGACUCUUGUGAGUUUGUAUCGUGAUGGGAACAAACGAUUGCAAUUAUUCGUUUCGAACGAGGAAUUCCUAGUAAGCGCGAGUCAUCAGCUUGUGCUGAUUACGUCCCUGCCCUUUGUACACACCGCCCGUCGCUCCUACCGAUUGGAUGAUCCGGUGAGCUGGCCGGACAGGCGGACUGCAUCUGAUGCUCUUCGCUUGGAAGGCUCGCAAACCUUAUCAUUUAGAGGAAGGAGAAAUCGUAACA
rnacentral:rRNA from 1 species